UCGGAGAGGAAACAGGAAGAGAAGGCAGAGGCCGAAGGUGCGCUGGGGGCAGAGGGCGACCCUGCUGCAGGGAGGAGGAACAGAAUCCAGAUGAGGAAGAGCCUGAGCCAAGAUGGAGGUCAAACAGCGGGGUGAAUUCAGGAAAUGUCCGGUUCCUCCUGGCUCUGUGUCUCAGACUUUCCUUGUUUUGGUGACCUUGACAGUUUUGAGGAAUCCCGGGCAGGUGUUUUGCAAAAUGUCCCUCAGAUUUGGCGGCUGCGGCAGACCCCGAAGAAGACUGUGGAUAGGCGCGGUAGCUGCGAACCCCUUUUUGAGUUCACUGUCUUUCUCACCGUUUCCCAGGGCUGUGGGUAAG